rnacentral:tRNA from 1 species
AGUGGUUAAGAACUUGGCUGUUAACCAAAAAGUCGGUGGUUCGAACCCACCAGCCACUC